ACUUCAGGACGGGGACAACAGUUGGAAACGACUGCUAAUACCCGAUAUGCCGCGAGGUGAAACCUAAUUGGCCUGAAGAAGAGCUUGCGUCUGAUUAGCUAGUUGGUGGGGUAAGAGCCUACCAAGGCGACGAUCAGUAGCUGGUCUGAGAGGAUGAGCAGCCACACUGGGACUGAGACACGGCCCAGACUCCUACGGGAGGCAGCAGUGGGGAAUUUUCCGCAAUGGGCGAAAGCCUGACGGAGCAACGCCGCGUGAGGGAGGAAGGUCUUUGGAUUGUAAACCUCUUUUCUCAAGGAAGAAGUUCUGACGGUACUUGAGGAAUCAGCCUCGGCUAACUCCGUGCCAGCAGCCGCGGUAAUACGGGGGAGGCAAGCGUUAUCCGGAAUUAUUGGGCGUAAAGCGUCCGCAGGUGGUCAGCCAAGUCUGCUGUCAAAUCAGGUUGCUUAACGACCUA
rnacentral:rRNA from 1 species